CAAUUACCUGUCUCCAGACACAAUCUCCUCAUAGAAUUUGACCCCACCCCUUCAUCAAUUCCUGCGGUACAGCCACACCCCUCUCUUCUCAUUGGCCGCGACUAGCUGUCAAUCACCUGGCUCCAGACAGAAUCUCCUCAGGCUAAAGAGAAGGGGGCCGAUUUAUGCCCAUAGCAACCAAUCACAGAGCAGUUUGUAUUCUGCUCCUUGUAAACUGAUGACUGUGUCCUGAUUGGUUGAUGGGGAACAAAGUAAAAAACAAUAAACUCUGGCCAUAAAACCAGCAUCUGCGGUAACAAGAAAAUGACAACCUGCAGUAAUGGGAACUGAGACUAGAUGGCGCCAGAGUACACUAUAACAUAGACAGUAAAGAGGAAGCUGCUGCUAUUGCUGCUUACCAUCACAAGAGGACGCCACCUGUAAGAAAGAGAAGACAUGACAGUCAGCAAAAUGUGCGCAGAUGCAUGUAUGCAGCGGAGUACGGCGUAUUCGGUGGAUUACGGGGUUGAACUAGAUUUUUUUUUCUUUAAAUAAAAUGGCUAACGAGGGCUGUGGGGGAGUGUCUUUUUUUUAUUAAAUAAUUUUUCCAAUGUGUCAUGUUUUUUUCUAAAUUGAAUUUUAAGGUUAAGUAGUGGAGGCUUUCUUAUUGACGGGAUUAAUUACUAAGCCAGGGCUUAGCUUUUGACCCAAAAACAGCUAGCGCUAACCCCCAAUUAUUACACCACUACUCACCACAACAGGGGUGCCAGAAGAGCCAGUACCAACAGGGCCGGAGCUUCAAAAAUGGUGCUCUUGGGCCUAGGCGGUAACAGGCUGGCGUUAUUUAGGCUGGGGAGG